GUUUUUCAGCAUGGCGGCCGGCGCGGCGGCUGCUUUAGCGUUCUUGAACCAAGAGAGCUGAGCCCGAGCUGGGGGCGUCGGGGGCCUGAGGGUCCCGGCCCCGGUCACAAUGGACAGUUUCUUCUUCGGUUGUGAGCUCUCCGGCCACACCCGCUCCUUCACUUUCAAGGUUGAGGAGGAGGAUGACACGGAGCACGUGCUGGCGUUGAACAUGCUGUGCCUUACCGAGGGGGCCAAGGACGAGUGUAAUGUGGUGGAAGUUGUGGCCCGGGAUCACGACAAUCAGGAGAUCGCAGUUCCUGUGGCCAACCUCAGGUUGUCUUGCCAGCCCAUGCUCAGUGUGGAUGAUUUCCAGCUCCAACCACCUGUCACCUUCCGCCUGAAGUCCGGUUCUGGCCCAGUUCGGAUCACUGGCCGGCAUCAGAUCGUUUGUAUAAACAACGACCUUUCUGAAGAAGAAAGUGAUGAUGAGAGCGAAGAAGAUGAAAUUAAGCUGUGUGGCAUCCUUCCUGCCAAGAAGCACAGGAGCAGGCCCUAGCCCCCUGAUCAGGUAACUGCUUGCUACAGGUGCCAUGCUCCGUAUGUUCCUGGACAAGUUCAAGAAUGGUUUUCUCGAUGAAGAGAAUAGGGGGUGGGAGGGAGGGAUGGACUGUGGUUCCUGAGGCUUCCCUUUUCUAUUGGGGUGGGACAACCUUUGAACACCUCUUCUGACCCACCUAACCCAGAUUCAGUCCCCAGCACUGCAAAAAAACAAAAAAACAAAAAAAAAAAAAAACAAAAAAAAAAAGAACAUGAAGUUCAGAACACAUUUUUAACACUUUGUACUUUUUUUGAUAAAUAUCUAAAUAAAGUGGUGUACGGUUGGUUGUUUUGCAAAAAAAAAAAAAAAAAAGAAAAGAAAAGAAAAGAAAAUGAACUACAGGCUUAAUUACAAACUGAUGAAGG